ACCACACAGUACAAAUGAGGCAUUAUUCUGCUUUCGACCUAGGGCUUCGCGGCUCUUAUUAAAAAAAAAAAAGAGGAGGAGCAUUCCACUUUCCUUGUUUUUGUUCACGGAUGCUGGAAAGGCUAGGGUUGCAGAGCGAGAGAGAGGGGCAGACGAGGCAUUCAUCUCCAUUUUGCAAGGUGGUUUUCCUCCUUUCAUGGUGCUCCAUCACCAAAUCAUACGUCUCCUUCUCUCUCCCUCUCUUUCUCUUUAUUCUAUCCCUUUCCACUACUAGAAAUUAGCGGAAGUCUGCAUUCUACGUUUGAUUUGUUUUUUUGUUUUUGUUUUGGUUGCAAAGAGCUCAUAUCUAAAAACAAUUUUGAUUUGUAUUAAACACCAAUAGCUCAUUCACAGUUUCACUUAACGCAUUUCUAGCUGAUAAGGUGCUCAAAUUCUGGAUUUGAAGAGCAGCAAGCUUCCACAGGUCCAAAUGAUGCUUAUUUGUCUACGUUGUCUGGAAGCAACUUAUCAUCCUUCUAGAUUCUGUUAUGUUAAUGACAUGGUACCAGCCAUACUGAGAUUAUUAAGCAGCACAAGGGGUGUGAUAAUGCUAUAAAGUGUGAGUACUUGGACAGAUGAUCGACAACCACCAAGAUAGUAGAUUUCCCUCGCGACUUCGAAAGCCCUUCGUUGAAGUCCAUCGAGAUGCCUUUCCAGAUCUGAUCAGGAAUUGGUAGUGGCUGCAGCAUACCAACAGGCAUUCGGAGAACUGGUGUUGUAGUGAUCGCCUGCUUUAGAGUGUUGAAGGCUUCUUCACUGGCCUGCUUCUAUACAAAUUUGCUUCCCUUGGUCAGCUUGAUCAGUGGUGCAACGAUGAUCCCAAAUUGUUGUACAAAUCCACGGUAUGUGAUUUGUGGUGCUCCAAAGGAGCGCUUGGACAGCUGGGCAUGGAGCUGGUGUUCUUGUAGUGUCGCCAACACAAUCUGUAGGUGUUGGAAGUGCAUCUCCUCUGCUGUGCUACAUAUAAGAAUAUUGUAAAAAAAAAAAAUAGCACAAACCUGCGAAGAUAGGGCCUGAAGACGUCGUUCAUCAGCGACUGGAGCAUAGAUGGCACGUUCAUCAGACCAAAUGGCAUCACCCAAAAUUCGUAAUGUCCGUCAUGUGUUUGGAAGUCCGUUUUUGGGAUGUCUUCUACAGCUACGUAGAUCUGAUAGUAACCCACACGUAGGUCUAGCUUGAAAAAUGGGUGGUGCUAUGGAGUUCGUUGAGUAGCUCCCCAUAGUGAGUAUCGGGUACUU